rnacentral:rRNA from 1 species
UACGUAGGGUGCGAGCGUUGUCCGGAAUUAUUGGGCGUAAAGGGCGCGUAGGCGGCCUGUUAAGUCGAACGUGAAAUCCCCGGGCUCAACCCGGGAACUGCGUCCGAUACUGGCAGGCUUGAAUCCGGGAGAGGGAUGUGGAAUUCCAGGUGUAGCGGUGAAAUGCGUAGAUAUCUGGAGGAACACCGGUGGCGAAGGCGACAUCCUGGACCGGUAUUGACGCUGAGGCGCGAAAGCCAGGGGAGCAAACGGG